CACGUAGGGUGCGAGCGUUGUCCGGAAUUAUUGGGCGUAAAGAGCUCGUAGGCGGUGUGUCGCGUCGGCCGUGAAAACCUGCAGCUUAACUGUGGGCUUGCGGUCGAUACGGGCAUCACUGGAGUUCGGCAGGGGAGACUGGAAUUCCUGGUGUAGCGGUGAAAUGCGCAGAUAUCAGGAGGAACACCGAUGGCGAAGGCGGGUCUCUGGGCCGAUACUGACGCUGAGGAGCGAAAGCGUGGGGAGCGAACAGGG
rnacentral:rRNA from 1 species